rnacentral:misc_RNA from 1 species
UGCAAAAGUAAAUGCAGGGGGUCAUUCGUGUUCUCUCUCUGAGAAUGACUUGCUUAGGAAAAGUCUCGUAAAUACUAAUAAUUCAUAUAAAAGUAGAUAAUGACAUUUUCUAAUAGCUAGGAUGAUCUCUUCUUUGGCUUAAUAAAGUCUUUGCGUCUUCUCCCAUGCAAAUCUCGAAUUCUGUUGCAAUAGAAACUCCUUUCCUCUUUUCUUCGACUAGCAAGGAUCGUUUUGUUUUAUCUUGUAUUAGGAUGCGAGAGAAUUUACAGAACACUGAAGAAAAUUUAUACAUCGACCAAGAACUCAGAUUUUCUUAUAAAAGUGAACUAAAAAUUAAUAAAUUAUUUUAUUUUAAUAAUAUUGAAAUAUUUUCCAAAGUGGAUGUCAAGCAUAGAAAACAAAAUAAGCCAACAAAGUUUGACAACCCGUAAAUGCGUUAACGUGUCAAAAAUUGCACUUUGUACGAUUUGCCCAUUAAUGAGAAAAGGAAUCCAAAGACGAGCCUGAUUCCUGAAUUAUGCUUCCAACUAAGCCAUGGGCAUGGCAACUCAAGCACGCAAAUAAGAAAAUGACAUGCUCUGUUUUUUCUUUUUUUAAAAAAAGAAAUUUAAUUUCACAAAAUAAAAACAACCAAAGCAAUAAAGCAAAUCAUAAAGAAAAAAAUUGAUAAAGCUUAGAGAUAAUAUGAAAACUAGUUGGUGAUGGCAAUAGAUAAGACAAAUAAUAAGUGGGAUUCUCUGGCGUAUUGUUCUGCCAAGUCAUCUUACCAUACCCCCACAUCCUUUUGUCCUUUUUUUUUUUCCUUUCCACUUUUUCUUUUGGAAUUUGGAACUUUUUUUUUCUUUAUUUUUUUUUUCUAUACAUAACCAUUCACCAGAUUAACUUUUUUUUUUUUUUUUAAAUAGAAAGACAACAAGAUAUGGUCUUCUUGCAAAAUUAAAUUAAUUUCCAAUCCCAUUCACUAUGCAGCGCGUGAACAUUUUCCCAAAACUCAAAUUGCCUGAACUCUCCCCAAUUCCAACAAAAACCAGGCAUUGUCCUUCCACUGCCCAGGUUUAGAAAACUUGACUCGGCUGACUCACUGAAACUCAGUUCAACUCUGGAUGAAUGUCCUUUAGCAAACCCAGAACUUGCUGCAUGGUUGGCCUCUUUCCAGGCAAUUCCGCCGUACAUAAGUAACCAACACGAAGACACUCGAUCAUCUCACUCAAUGAGUCACCGUCCACUGUUAAUCUCGAGUCAAGAGCGUCUGCACCACUCCCUUCUCUCACUAGUCUUCUCACCCAUCCAACACUCUCUUCGUUCCCUUGCUUACCCGUCAGUAACUCUAUCAACAAAACCCCGAAACAGUAUACGUCAAACUCAACCCCGCAAUCUUCGCUGUCUGCUCUGAUAUUUUUCUUUUUCGGACAGAUAUUUCUGAGGCCGAAAUCAGCUACUCUUGGCUCUAGGGUAUCAGAGAGGAGAAUGUUGGAUGCGACGAGGUGGCCGUGUACAGAGCCAGCAUGGUGGAGGUAAGCAAGCCCGCGAGCCACGCCGACGGCAAUUCGGUGGCGCGUGAGCCAAUUAGUUUUUUCUUCAGGAGAAGCGACGUGGGACCCAGAUAUAUUCUGAUGCUCCCAGGUGUCGGUGCUCCAGUCCUCCACAUUGGGUUCGAGGGUAGGAAGCUCAUGGAGCCAGCGGUGCAGAUCUCCGUUGGCCAUGAAUUCGUAUAGAACCAGCUUCUCUUUACCUGCAAUACAGUACCCACACAGGGGUAACAGGUUUGGGUGUUUCAGCCUCGAAAGAUCUUCAAAUAUGGCCACCGCUUCGUCAUGGUCGAUGUCUCUUGCGUUCUCUAAUACUUUGAUUGCCACAUGGACGUCUCCUGGUAGGACAGCUCGGUAAACGGGUCCACACCUGCCCUCUGAAAGUAGAGAUUCUUUACCGAAGUGUGAGGUGGCUGCUAUUAGGUCUUUGAAAGUCAGGUUCAUCAACGGCUUGGAGGACAUUAUCACUGAGGCUGAUGUUGGUUCUUUGAUGUCUGCCACCCAUGAUGUGCCCGACUCCGUUUCGAAACUGAACGGCCCUGAUUUCUCCAUCUUGAAAGGGAAUUGGACUACUGGUGUUGAGAUUGCCCAUUUGUUUCUGGUGGCAAUCUUUCUUCUCCUGUGCAUGCACAAGGCACAAAUAGCAAUAGAUACAAGCAGAAAUGCUGAUACCGAUGACACACAGAUGAUUAACGUUUUAGUCUUUGAUUUUGAUUUGGAUUUGAUUUUCCUGGCGGUGUUUUUGUUGAGUGAUGAGUGUUUUGGGAUGCUGUUGAUGUGAGGUGGGGUUUCUUUUGAUUGUGGCUUGAUGGGAUUGCUUGGGGUUUUUGAUGGGGUUUUGGAGGCAGUGAAAUUGAAACCACCUACGUGAAGAAAAGCAGAUUUUCCAAAUUUGUUGGUCUCGUCAGAGUGAACAAUUCCAGUGAAGUUAUUCAGUGAAACAUUCAAGAACUCGAGGCCAUCUAGUGAAGGAAAAUCAGAAGGAAAAGUACCACUCAUGUUGUUGUUUGAGACAUCUAAAGAUGUCAAUGAAUGAAGACCUGAUAUAGUUUUUAUAUUGCCUGAAAUUUUGCAGCUUGAAAUGUUAAGCGACUUUAACUUGGUCAGGUUAGUGAACCCAGAAGGCAAAGAACCAAUAUUAUUGCGUGAAAGAUCAAGAAUUUGUAAAUUUGCAAAACAGGAGAUUUUACCCAAGUUGGUGAACCUGUUGGUUGAGAGAUUCAGCACUUUGAUCGAGGAAAAUGAAUCAUUUCCCGGGUUAGGUUCAAACCCAACGCUCCCUCCAAUCUUAUUUUUAGCCAGAUUGACUUCUUUCAAGCUCGGUAUAGACCAGAACGAACCUGGAACUUGACCUUUAAUUGAAUUGCUGGAGAGAUCAAUGACUUGCAACUGUGACAUGCUCUUGAGAUACUUCCAUGAAAUGAUGCCGCUCAAGUUUCUUGAGGAAAGCCUUAUUUCUUGAGAACAGUUGGAAUCUGCAGGUUGGAACCAAGAAGGAUUGAAACCAGAAACAGACUUGAAAGCCUUAAAGAGCAGUUCUUGGUCCGUAAUAUUGCAGGUAGUAUUAGAUUCCGAUUCCACAAGCACAAUAAACAGCGAAAAGACAAGCAAGAACCUGCUAAACAUUUCCAUAUUUUCUGUUGACAGUAUCAACUCCCUUCACAUCUAUUUCCCAUACUAGAAAGAAAGAAAGAAAGAAAGA